UUUUUGUGUAAAUUUGUAUAGUUGCUUGCUAUUGUAUCUUUGAGGACCAUAUUGUUUAAUUCAUUUGUCUGUUAUGUUGCUUUAGAGCAACCUUCAAUGAAGUGCCGCGGUCCUUUGUUUGUCGGAGUGUCGUUGUUCACGUGUUUGUUGUAGCGUUUUCUGUUUCAGCCACCUAGAAGCGUUCGUCUUCAUUGAAGUGUGGUCGGACUGUCACCGUUGAAGUUGGUCGGACUGUAAUUGGUGAAGGCAACUUUGUAGGCGCCACCUUUACGCGUCAAGGAACCAUCGAAGUUGGAAACUGCCAUUGGAGGUGUUUUUUGAAGGAGGAACUAUAACAGGUUAGGGAGAAAUAUAUUUGUGAUUAGAUUUUGGAUGUGCAAAUGUGCGGAGAGAUGAAAUGUUGCAGGAUUUAGGCAUUGAGUAGAUGUUGUUGAAUAGGGAUUUUUGCAGCUUUAUUAAUGGUUUGUUUAGAACUCUUUCGAUAUGUAUUAAUGAGGAUUGAAUGUACAUAUUUGUUGUUAAAAAUGUUGAAAGAAAAUGAGUGCUU
rnacentral:sRNA from 1 species